rnacentral:rRNA from 1 species
GACGAACGCUGGCGGCGUGCUUAACACAUGCAAGUCGAACGGAAAGGCCCUGCUUUUGUGGGGUGCUCGAGUGGCGAACGGGUGAGUAACACGUGAGUAACCUGCCCUUCACUUUGGGAUAACUUCAGGAAACUGGGGCUAAUACCGGCUAGGAGCUCCUGCUGCUUGGUGGGGGUUGGAAAGUUUCGGCGGUUGGUGAUGGACUCGCGGCUUAUCAGCUUGUUGGUGGGGUAGUGGCUUACCAAGGCUUUGACGGGUAGCCGGCCUGAGCGGGUGACAGGCCACAUUGGGACUGAGAUGCGACCCAGACUCCUACGGGAGGCAGCAGUGGAGAAUAUUACACAAUGGGCGGAAGCCUGAUGCAGCAACGCCGCGUGCGGGAUGACGGCCUUCGGGUUGUAAACCGAUUUCGCCUGUGACGAAGCGUGAGUGACGGUAAUGGGUAAAGAAGCACCGGCUAACUACGUG